rnacentral:rRNA from 1 species
AUUGAACGCUGGCGGCAUGCUUUACACAUGCAAGUCGAACGGUAACAGGGUGCUUGCACCGCUGACGAGUGGCGAACGGGUGAGUAAUGCGUCGGAACGUGCCGAGUAGUGGGGGAUAACGCAGCGAAAGUUGUGCUAAUACCGCAUACGUACUGAGGUAGAAAGUGGGGGACCUUCGGGCCUCACGCUAUUCGAGCGGCCGACGUCUGAUUAGCUAGUAGGUGAGGUAAAGGCUCACCUAGGCGACGAUAAGUAGGGGGUCUGAGAGGAUGAUCGGCCACACUGGGACUGAGACACGGCCCAGACUCCUACGGGAGGCAGCAGUGGGGAAUUUUGGACAAUGGGCGAAAGCCUGAUCCAGCCGUGCCGCGUGUCUGAAGAAGGCCUUCGGGUUGUAAAGGACUUUUGUCAGGGAGGAAAUCCCUAGUGCUAAUAACACUGGGGGAUGACAGUACCUGAAGAAUAAGCACCGGCUAACUACGUGCCAGCCGCCGCGGUAA